UACGUAGGGGGCUAGCGUUAUCCGGAAUUACUAGGCGUAAAGGGCAGGCAGGCGGAUCCAUAAGUUUAUCGUUUAAGGCGUCGGCUUAACCGGCGUAGGGCGGUAGAUACUGUGGAUCUGGAAUGCGGUUGGGGAAGACAGAAUUCCUGGUGUAGCGGUGGAAUGCGCAGAGAUCAGGAGGAAUACCGAAGGCGAAGGCAGUCUUCCAAGCCGUUAUUGACGCUCAACUGCGAAGGUGUGGGUAUCAAACAGGAUUAGAUACCCGGGUAGUCCCUGAGCGGGCU
rnacentral:rRNA from 1 species